GCUUACCUCAAGAUAUUGACCUUGAAGGUGU
rnacentral:piRNA from 1 species